UGAAGUGGAGCUGCCCAGGUGCUGCUUGAUGGUCGACAAAUUCCUUGUUCCACCAUAAAAUUAAAUUCGUCUCUUGCAAAUUUUAAUUUUUCUGAUGACAAGCGAGGAGUUGAAGCAAUUGGUGGUCCUUUUGUAAUAAUAUGAUGUUCAAUUUGAUGAAUCUUGGUUGUGGAUAUAAGAGCAAAACGAGUUAGUUCAGGAAACUCAGCGAGAAUCUUAUGGAAAGGUAUUAAUCCUGGUUCCGUUAGCUGCGUGAAGUUUGAAGGAAGAAACUUGAGCUUUUGAUACAAACCAUUUUGGAAUUAGAGAAAUGUCAGCUCCUGUAUCAACAAGAAAAUUAAGCCCUGAAGACUUAUCAGAUACAAUGAGGCGAUUGUUAGGUGAAUCAUGGUCAGCCGUCUCACAACUUAACGGUGGAGCUAGUUUUCCUGCUUUUUAAAAAUGGAUUUAAACAUGUCGCAAGAUCUACUACACACGCGUUUUACUUCGAGAGCUGCGAUUCUACGUUCAAGAUCAGCAAGAUUUGAAGUAUUUUUCUCUGCCAAGGAAGCUAUUGUCGCUAUUUGAAGCUUAGUUUCGCGAUCCAUAAUCUUAUCGGCUAGUUCAGCGAGCUUGAUUAACGGGCAAUUUUCAACAACUGCUAAAGUGGCUUGAACUUGAGAAGGCGGAUUUUCAAUAAUCUCAGAUAUAGCUACCAAAGCUUGCUCAUCAAGAUGCCAUAUGACUGAGCUAUAUUUAACAUCAUCUGAGCAGAUCCGAUAAACUAAGAAUUCGCUUUCUAACUGAGCAAACCAAAAUUUAGGCUGCUUAUGCCAAAAAUUCGGUAAUUUAAUAAGACGAAAUUCAUUGGAAUGGAUCUCAUUUGACUGACCUUGUUGAUGCGAUUAUUCGUCACUGAAGUAACAGUUGGAGAUCUGUCCAAAGGCAUCAUAAAAUUCUGCUAAUGUUCUGCGAUGUGAAGUCCUGAAGUCUAGAAGAUCGCUGUCCUUAUAAAUUCGAUGACUCGAAAAUCACAAGGCACAAUUCACAUAAGGAUCACAGCGGUACUCGGAUCUCGUCGACUCAUAGCACUCGCGGAUGGCUGAUUUAGAUCUGCCGCGUGUUGUGCGUAAAAUCUCGAAAGCUCGAGAUCACGUCGGGGUCACCAGUUGUGGAAGCGAUACAAUAAAAUAACUAGACUUUGAGAUGAUAAUAUAAAAUAUUCCAAGAACAAUGUGUACAGGAUGAAGGACAGUAAACGAAUGAAUAAAUG